rnacentral:rRNA from 1 species
AGUCGAGCGAGGUAGCAAUACCUAGCGGCAGACGGGUGAGUAACAUGUGGGAAUCUGCCUUUUGGUUCGGAACAACACGGGGAAACCUGUGCUAAUACCGGAUAAGUCCUAACGGAGAAAGUUUUAAUGCCAAAAGAUGAGCCCGCAUUUGAUUAGCUAGUUGGUGAGGUAAAAGCUCACCAAGGCGAUAAUCAAUAGCUGAUUUGAGAGGAUGAUCCCCCACACUGGUACUGAGAUACGGACCAGACUUC